GUACUGUAAUACACCAAUGCUAAAUCCGUAGCACAUUUGCUCCUAAAUCUGGAGCACAUUUGUUCGAAGAAUAUGACCAUAAUGGUCAUAAUUGCCAUCUUAAGAUACUGGAUGGUCCACCUGCAGUGCUUUUGUAAGGUGGAUCACUGUUGAACAUCCAUUGGCUGGUUGAAGUUCAAUCUGAUGAGGUCUGCAGAGAAGCUCAUUCCACUCUCCCUAUUAAUGUACAGAACUUCACCUGACUGAACCCCUUUCAGGUGUAACUCCGCUUUUAAACACACGGCCGUCCCACAUUAUGCUGGGCCCCUGGCUUCCUGUUUCCGUGAAGAAGCAGCACCUUGCUCACAGGGAGAGAGACAAUGCAGCUCUGCUAGGUUCCUCUGCCCCCUGCAUGGCCAGCCUGCCAUUCAUUGUUAUGCAAUGAAUCUGGGAGAAACAAAAGGUUGGAUGGGCUUUGUGGACCCCAGGAUGAGAUUAUUAUUAACAUGCCUGGGAAUUACAGUGCCUGGGUCCCUUUGUCGCUCAUUGAUUUGACUGAACCUUUUAUAAAAUCAAGGUGCACGGCCACAUGCUGUUACAAUGAAAAUGCAGAGUGUGUGUGUGUGUGUGUGUGUGUGUGUGUGUGUGUGCGUAUCAGAAAGCGACGUCAAACCCUGUAAGUGAGUUUGUAUAAACUAAUCUGUAGAUAUUUGUACUGGUUUGGGAUCUCUCUUUUUUAAGAUUUGUGACUGAGCAGUGGUUCACCAGUUUUGGAAAACGCAGCUGGUCCUUAUAUAUUCUUAUUAUGAAUAUUGAUGUUUUGAUUUUCAGCUGUUUCUUAGCCAUUUGUAAUAAUAACCUAAUGGGGUGAGAUCACAUUUACAUUUUUGAGCACUUGCAUUUAUUUUAUUUUUUUGCAGACUCUUUUAUCCAAAACAUUGUACAAUCGAGAAAUUGGUCCCUGGAGCAGUUCAAUUCCAAAUAAUUUUUCUACCAAAUGUAUCACUACACAAUCAAAUGUACUACAGAGUUUUAUAUGUAAUUAAAAGAGUUACAGUUAAAGUAUUUUUGACAUUUAUUCAUUUUGUACUUGUGAGCUAGCUAUACCGGAGGAAUUGUUUUUAAUACAUUUUAAUAUAUUAAUAUAGGUGCACAGAGAAUGUUGGGCCACGGCCCCAAAGCUCAGGAGAGGGACAGUUUCUCUAAGUUAAGUUAAAUCAUUAAGGGAAUCUUCAACGUCCAUUAAUCACAUCUCCAUGUCUCUUCUUUAGAGACGUGGAGAAAAUAGAUUGAGCUGUGCAAAGAGUCUGCUGAGAGCUUGUUCUUUUAUUUUAUUUAACGUUUUAUUCCAUAGGUUUCACAACAACAGCAACAACAACAAAAGCAACGGCAGCAAUAAAUAAUAAUAAUAAUAAUAGCCACCCGAAGAGCACUUGCUGGCCAUGCUAGCGUAAUUAGAUGUGCAGCAUGUGGGAGGGAUGUGGCGGGCAGCGAUGUGGCCCACAUGAGGUGCCGUGUAUUUCAUGGACAGGAAGCUGAGCGGCUGGUCCGGCCAUUUGAACGACAGCUGCUCUGAACGGCCGAGGACAAGCAGAUGGAGAUGCAGCUGAGAACGGAACUUAAUUGUUUAGAGUCACCUGUGCAGCUCAGACUUCAGCUCCAGAGUGACCUCAGCGUCAGCACACAAGGUGGUCGAGGCGGAGAACUUAUGCAGGAGUGUUUUUUACCACAACACGUGCCUGCGCAUAAACUGUGUACCGAUGUGAUAUAAGUUUAAGGGUGGUAUAUUCAUUUCUGAACACAAUAUUGGUUUCAUUCAUUUAUGCCAUAUCAAGCCAUGUGCAGUCUUUGUAUUUUCCUUUGUUAAUUAUUGCUUUGCAAAACCUACCACUUUGUGAGGUGCAGAGGGGAACAACAAGCAUUCAAUAAAUCAUUCAACUGCAGUUAAAAUCAAUGAAUAUGUAACAUUGUCUCACAUUACCCAAUGCAACAAAGUAAAAAUACCAAAGAAGCUUUACAUUAUAGCUAAUUCCAUUUUUAAUAAUUUUUCUACUGUUUGUCACGUUUCCCUUGGAGGGCUGCUGUUUCAUGCUUGAAAAUUUAUUUUGUCUGAAAAUAUCUAGUAAUGGUGUAAUUUAUUAUGUCAAAAAAGUAGAUUUUGAUUUGGUCAUUUUGAAGCAGAUCCUACUACCACUGCACUUAUUUGAACAUUCGGAAAUCGAAGAGGCAAUUCCGGGGAUAUCACUGUCCUUCUGAGCAGUACAGAAUGGAUUCUGUGAAUCACACCGGCAAGGAGAAUCCCCCAGAAGAGGAAUCUGUGGGUGGGACUGAGCUCCACAGAGAAGCCAGUCUAAAUGUUAAUUUCAGCACAUGUGUGAAUUUUGUUGUUUUGUAUCCAUCUCAUAAUUUUCCUAAUGAAUAGCAAAGUAGCUUUCCCACAGACUGUAGCCCAAUAUGUGUGCUUCACAUGGUUAAUAAAUUGCGUCGCUUGCUUUCCCUUAUAGCUGUAUCUGAUUUAAUUGUGUCGCAGGAACAAGACAUGCAACAGCUAUCUGUCCAAUGAUCUGCUGAGACCCCACCCACUGAGAAGGGAACUAUGAAAACUAUCCAGUUUCCAUGGAAAUGGAACACUAGCUUAGUUUAUUUUUGUGUUCGUCAGGAGGCAGAGAAAUGGGGUGCAUUCUCUCAACUCACUUGGCCGAGUAAUGAGAGCAAUUCAGUGAAAUUUAGUGCCAGAUAGUUCCAGGAUUAAAAAGCCAAACAACUGACUGAAAUGUGAAUCAGAUGUGGGAUAACAG